rnacentral:lncRNA from 1 species
UUUUGCAUGUAUAUCUUUUACAACUCUUGAUUCACAUUUUUCAACAUUUGAAAAACAAAAGAUAAACAUACUUUGAAUGAAGAAAUAAUAUGUCAUACAUCAUAUUAAAACCCAUAUGCAUAAAAUCCAAAAGGACACAUCAUACAUAAACCUUUGGCUCUGAUACCACUUGAAGGGAAUUCUAUGAGAUUCAUGUGGGAUUUCUAGUGACUAGCAUGCAUAUACAAUUCAAAAUUUAUAUACGAAAGCAACGGAAGCAUUUCAACAUAUAUUAUCAAAGCUCUAGUCAUGUAAAUCCCCUUCAAGAUGCAUAGGUUUAUGUAAGAUGCAUCAAAAACAAAUUUAUAUAAGAACAAAGUUUAGGAGUAGUUUUAUACCUCUUGAUCUAGAUCUUAGACCAAGGAUGGACCACCUCCAAGCCCUUUGCUCCUUGAAGUCCUUGAGCCUAGCCUCCUUCCUUGCCUUCUCCACUUUGUUUAGUAUAAGUGCUCCUAGGUUCUCUUCAAGUUUCAAAAAUUGAAAACCUCUAAAGAUCCUCACCCACUAGUGUAGUGAGAAGGAUGAAGGAAUAACCAAAGGGGUGAACAGAUGAUUAGCUAAAAACCCCCUAUGGUGGCCGGCCCUUUGAGCGUUAGAGAGAUAUUUUUCUUUUUCUCUUUUGUUCUUUUAACACUUCAAAAAAAACCCUAAUGAAACAUUUGCUAUAAAGUUCCUUUUAUAGCCAAAAAGAAACAAGUCAACAUUUGACCUUUCUCUCCCUCCUUUUGGCCGGCCCCCUUUGUGUUGUUUGGGCUUUGGGCUUUUAUUUAUUUCAAGUCAUCCAAUGCUUGAAUAAAAGGCC